rnacentral:lncRNA from 1 species
UCAAUUGUGACAACUAGGAGGUGCAAAUGUUUUGAUAGUGUGUUAAACCUGUUGGCCUGUGUAUGCACAAGAGCAAAAAACCCUAACCUAACCUUCUUGAGGUAAGAUGGGUAAGACACAUGAAGCCGUUGAAGUCUAAAGAUUAAGAUAAUGUGGUUUUUUUUAUAUUGGUGACCACAAAGAUUCUGGAGUUUAUUCCCUCCUUCACUUAGGAACACAGCCAAAUGUAUUCAGCAUAAAAAUGUACAGGGUCUGAAGUUCUUUUUUGAGCCAAAAUCUUUAUGUACUUUAGUUGGGUUUUUUUUUUUUUUUUUUUGGUUUUUAAACACAACUACCCUGUGUUAACACUCGUCAGUGACUAAAUAGACCCCUGGAGUUUUUUGAUUUGGGUGUUUUGUUUUGUUUUUGUUUUUGUUUUUGUCUUUUUGUCAUACCUUUGGGGGAUAUUUUUGGAAAAGUUAUUUUAUAUUUUAUAAGAAGAAAACAAGCUAUAUUUUGCCCUUGAGUUAAGAUUUUCAUUAAAUUUUGUGAAACUCGAACAACCUAAAGGCUUUUUAAGUUGAUAAAUUGAUAAAAGCUUACUAAAUUAAAAUUUCAGUUUCCCUUUUUUUCCUCUGCCAGUAAAUUAAGUGGCUUACUGAGAUAACUAAUGGCUAACUCUAGCUGUAGUCUUUUCUCUUUUAUAUCCUAUGAGUUAAUAAAACUAUCCAGACUAGUUACAUUGCCAUAGUAAGCAUGUGACUGACAUCUUUUGUCUUAAUUUGGAUGAGAAAAAAAAAUUUUUUUUUGGUAAGUCAGUCACAGUCAUUUCACAGCAAAUAGUUUUAAGAUAGAAAGGACAUGUGCAAAUGAAAUGCACCAUUUUAGGAAAUGAGAUGAUCAAGCUAACACAGGUCCAGACUGUCUUACAAUGCAGAUUUGAGUUUGUGCCCUCCGUCCACUUUAAGCCUAAGAACUGUUGCCUUUUCUUUCCUGUGUUCGUCAAGAACAGCAGAGAGACUCUUUGGCAUGCAAGGAAAUGUCUCUUCAUAGUUUCUUGAGAUUUAUCUUGGUGUGUUUCUGCCUGCCAUCGUCUGUGCUUGAAUCCUUUUCUACUAGCAUUUCCUCGGUGCCAGUCCGUCUGAUCUUUAUGUUUGCCGCCAGUGAGAGGCCAACUAAAGCCAAAGCUGUAAACCACAGUUGAAGUAAGUCUUUCAAUAAAGACUAGUCUAUGU